rnacentral:rRNA from 1 species
AGAUUGAACGCUGGCGGCAUGCCUUACACAUGCAAGUCGAACGGCAGCGCGGGGCAACCUGGCGGCGAGUGGCGAACGGGUGAGUAAUAUAUCGGAACGUACCCUGGAGUGGGGGAUAACGUAGCGAAAGUUACGCUAAUACCGCAUACGAUCUAAGGAUGAAAGUGGGGGAUUCGCAAGAACCUCAUGCUCCUGGAGCGGCCGAUAUCUGAUUAGCUAGUUGGUGGGGUAAAGGCCUACCAAGGCAUCGAUCAGUAGCUGGUCUGAGAGGACGACCAGCCACACUGGAACUGAGACACGGUCCAGACUCCUACGGGAGGCAGCAGUGGGAAUUUUGGACAAUGGGCGAAAGCCUGAUCCAGCAAUGCCGCGUGAGUGAAGAAGGCCUUCGGUUGUAAAGCUCUUUGUCAGGUAAGAAACGGUGAGGCUAAUAUCCCUUGCUAAUGACGGUACCUGAACGAAUAAGCACGGCUAACUACGUGCCAGCAGCCG